rnacentral:lncRNA from 1 species
CCGUGGAAUAGAAUCGGUAGGCAUGGUAUAGGGGGGGCUUCCCCUAGUCGCUUGCUCCAUCGUGUCGUGGUGAACUGGUGAACUGCCCGUAUAGCGGGAGCCGAGCCAAGGCGGCAGGGGCGGCCGGAGGCGGGGGCCGAGCCCAGGCGGCAGGGGCGUCCGGCGGCGGGGGCCGAGCCUCUAUACGGGCUCGGCCCCCCCCCCCCCCCCCCCCCCCCCCCUAUACGGGCUCGGCCGGAGGCGGGGGCCGAGCCCAGGCGGCAGGGGUGGGUUUAUCGCUUAUUUCCGCUAAUACGCGGGAUAAGCGGGUACAAACAGGGCCCUAGUCGCUUGCUCCAUCGUGUCGUGGUGAACUGGUGAUGGGUAAGUCGUAGGUGAGCCAGCCGCAGUUAUUUUCGAUCUCAUGUUUGUUUUGUCGAUUGGUUGAUCAGGUGCGCGGGCUAGCCGGAUAGAUUGGGUUGCUUGUACUUUGCGGUGCUCGAUCCGUUCGAUUCCAGGUCUAGGUUGGAUGAUUCCCCUGCUUCCCCCAGGAUCCCUCUGUUUGGGGAAAUAGUUUUGUGUUGAUUUGUGACUAAUUACUAUUUGUUGAUAUCUAAGGUUCUGCAGCUCUUUUAUUUCGAUUUCUGUUCAAGGUCAGAUCGGUUUUAAUUGGGUAGCACGGAAAAUUUGGCUUGGCCGAAACAGGAUAACCUGAAGGGUUUGGUCUGGAUCUGUCUUUGGUUUGCAUGAUGAUUGGUCUGAUCAGGAUAAUUUGUUCGUACGCCUAAUUUUUGUGAUGGAAACUGUACCUGAUACUUGUUAUUGGAAUAUGGAGGCAAGUGGAGUGCUCAGAAUUCUACGGUUUUUGCAUUUGGCAUGUUCCUCUCAUGGUAGUCAGUCUCAUCAGAAGGUUUAGUUAUGAUAAGAUAUGGCUGCGUAGGUGUGUUUGGAAUUUACAAGUAUAUGGUGUCAAUUUGCUGUUUAUUUCGGCAAGCAGUAUUGGUCGGCUUAUUUGGUGCUGGUUGUGAGGUGUAUACAGAUCCAUGCACUGUAUGAAUCAUGGAUUCAUGGUUGCAUAGCGAUGCUUUAUUUGGCUGUUAGAACAAGAUUUUGAUUCAGUACUAUUGACAUACUCAUGAAGGUGGCUUGUUGUUCUAUCAUUAUCAAAUUGUUGUUCUAUCAUUAUCAAAUAGUCAGCUCAAUUGAAAGGUUCAUUUCAAGGAAAUUCAGAAUGUGGGUUUUAUAAUUGCUAUAUCUGUGCAGUGUAGUUUAGUGCUAGCUACAUGUGAAGCCAUCUGCUGGAAGAUUCUUCUAAGUACUAUUCUUGCUUUGAGGGCCAUGGAUGUAUGCUCUAAGUUGUGGUUUUCUUACUGAUGUGCUACUGAUGUGCUACUGAUGCGUGUUUAUCUGGUGGUACCUUAAGGUCUUCUGUCAGAUUAUGGUGUAGUGCUUUGGUCUGAAUCUCCUAGUCCUCUGGUGAUACUUCAGUCACAUUGUUUUGAAUGAAUCUUGGAUUUGCGGACUCUACUAGAUUUCAGCUUCUUAUCAUCUUAUGUUCCUUCAGUUACUGGACCAUGUGCCGGUUUCAGUGCCAGCUUCCUUCUGUUGUAACUUAUGUUUGUAUGUGUACUGUUAACCAAGCAUCUUCUCUAUGUCGGGAGUUGUAUUUGUGUAAUUUCAGUAUAGAAGGAUUUGUUGUAACCACUAUGUAUUAUUAACAUCUGGUUGUUUUGCAUAAUUCUUGGAGCAAUAGAAUUCUAACCUGAACUCUGUUUCAAAAGGUGGUGCUAGGCGGAGCAACGGCGCCUCGCCUAGCACUGUAAUGAACAAACAGCGGAGAUAGUGUAAAAUCCAGAUUUGAAAUACACUGUAGUUGGAAAAAAACAUUAAUUUCCAUUCAUAUUUAGGUCCUUAUUGAGGUCUGUUUAUGGAGUUAUGUAACCAACUUUUAACAAUUCUGAUGCAAUAUGUGUUGUAAUGAAUCAUACCUCAAGAUGUGUAUAGUAUGCAUUGUAAUGAAUCAUACCUCUAGCUGUGCACAGUUAAGAAAUCGUAUCUCUUUUAGUAUUGUAGAAAUAACUGCUUAGUUUUUAAGUAAACAUACAUCUUCUCGUUGCAAUAAAGCACUCUAUUUUAUUGAAUCUUCUUCACUAGUUUGCUUGUGCUGUCUAUCUACGCAUAUUGUGGCCAUAUUAGUUAUUUCUUGGCUGCAGGGGUUUAUUUUAAUUAG